GGGAGAUAAAUGUGCUAAGCACUCUUCAGGAUCAGGCCCAUCGCUGGCAUCCUUCAUAAGUGUUCAGGGUGUAGAAGAAACUCACUGUAUUUAGAAGGAAUGGGUAUAACUCAGAUUGGGCUCCCUACUGGUCAGCCUUGAAGAAAGUGGAUCUUCAUCUCCCCUUGAUGUAAUUGGGAGGAACUGGGAGAUGCCAUGGUCUCACGGUCCAGAAGUAUGCAGACAACACCUACCUUCAUCAUAGACAUGGCAAGCCUCAUCUCACCACCAGACCACUCUCUGGACGAGAUUACACUUGGAUAAAAGACAGCAUGGUAACACUGCACUCAAGCAAGAUGGAGUGUUCAGGGCCUAUGGGAGAAGUUGAAAAGGAGAAGAGGAUGAAGAAAAUAUGUUAUAGAACCUGCAC